rnacentral:misc_RNA from 1 species
GUGGCCAGUGGAGAAGACAAGAGUGGAACGACUGCAGUCUGUGCUCUCAUAUCACCAACACACAUCUUCGUGGCUAAUUGUGGAGACUCGCGAGCAGUUUUAUACCGAGGAGGCAAAAUUGGCUUCAGCACACAAGACCAUAAACCUGUGAACCCAGUGGAGAAGGAGAGGAUCCAGAAUGCAGGUGGAUCAGUGAUGAUUCAGAGAGUAAAUGGAUCCCUCGCUGUCUCACGAGCACUUGGAGAUUAUGAGUACAAAAAUGUGGAGGGCAAAGGACCAUGUGAGCAGCUGGUGUCCCCAGAACCUGAAAUAUACGUAGAGCGCCGCCAGAGUGAUGAUGAGUUUUUGGUAUUGGCCUGUGAUGGAGUGUGGGAUGUCAUGACCAAUGAAGACCUCUGUGCUUUCGUGCGGUCCCGCCUCCUUCUAUCCGAUGACCUGGAAUCCAUAGCUAACCAUGUUGUAGACACUUGUCUUUACAAGGGAAGUCGUGACAACAUGAGUAUAGUGCUGUUAACACUCCCAGGGGCCCCUAAGGUAUCUGAAGAGGCUAUUAAAAAGGAAAAAGAAAUGGAAGAUAUAAUAGAGAAAAAGGUUGCGGAGGUGUGUGCACAGGAGGGACCAGUGAGCAUGCCACAGAUAAUGUCAGUGCUAGCUGAAGAAUAUAUCCCAGGCCUUCCCCCAGGUGGAGGUCAUCCUGCAAAGCGAGGCUUUGUGGAACAGAUAUUCAGAAAGUUGCGACCUGACUGUGCAAAUGCAGAGAGCAUGGAUGAGAUGGGGGAGGAUGGACUGAGUGGUAAUUUGAUGUUCUUCCCGAGUCCAACAAUGCGUGACAAGAUAACCUCCAUUUUCGAAAACUCGUCCCUUGAUGAUGACGCUUGAUGAUGAUGAUGAUGAUCAUGAUGAAGGGUUCUGGGUUGGGUUUAGGGGCAGAAGGAGAAUGAUGCCUACAGUAUUGAGAGAUACACCUAGGGUUCUGUAACAACGCAACCCCUCCCCCCACCCAGCGAUAAAAACACAAACCCUCAAAAUGUUGAUGUGCUGAUGAUACAGUUUAUGCAAGUGUGCAGAAGCAUUCAACAGAUAUGUCAAGAUUAGGAAUUCUGUGCCUUAGGUAUAACAUCAGUAAGAUUAAUUUUUUUUUUUUUUUUUUUUCUCUCUCUCUCUCUCUCUCUCUCUCUCUCUCUCUCUCUCUCUCUCUCUCUCUCUCUCUCUCUCUCUCUCUCUCUCUCUCUCUCUCUCUCUCUCUCUCUUUCUCUUUCUCAAAGCUGUAACUAUAAAAAGUGAUCAUUCCUGGUACUCAGCCUAAGGUUCGCGAGUUGCUGAUCUUGCCACAAAUAUUUUUGCAGUCAGAUGUGCUAGUUUCAUAUGUGAUAGUCCCGAUGCUUUUGCCUUCCAGACUCAUAACCUUACUCUCGAGUUGUUGUGUUGGUCAGCACCAACAGAUAUGAGUCUUCAAGUAUUGUAGAUGAUGGAAAUACAUUUUUAGAUAAUUUUUUUUAUUUUUAUUUUUUCUUCAAUUACUGGAUAAUGUGAUAACAUGUGAAAAUAAUGAGUAAUAAAAUCAGAGAUACACAGAUAAUGAGUUCAUCCUAAUUUUAGUUUUGAAGGUCUCAGUCCACAGUGGCAGCUCGAGGGUGACUACUUGUUUCUGGAAGGAGAGUGUGUGAAAGAAUGUAAUGAAGAUAUGUUAAUACAGUUAAUAAUAAUGAUAAGUUUUAU